rnacentral:tRNA from 1 species
GGGCCUGUGGCGCAGCUGGGAGCGCGCCUGAAUGGCAUUCAGGAGGUCACCGGUUCGAUCCCGGUCAGGUCCACCA